UUGAGGAAUUUUCCGCAAUGGGCGAAAGCCUGACGGAGCAAUGCCGCGUGAAGGAUGAAGGCCUAUGGGUUGUAAACUUCUUUUCUCAGAAAAGAAUUAUGACGGUAUCUGAGGAAUAAGCAUCGGCUAACUCUGUGCCAGCAGCCGCGGUAAGACAGAGGAUGCAAGCGUUAUCCGGAAUGAUUGGGCGUAAAGCGUCUGUAGGUUGUUUAAAAAGUAUUCUGUCAAAGAUUAGGGCUUAACCCUAGAUAGGCAGAAUAAACUUUUAAGCUAGAGUUUGGUAGAGGCAGAGGGAAUUCCCGGUGGAGCGGUGAAAUGCGUAGAUAUCGGGAGGAACACCAAAGGCGAAGGCACUCUGCUGGGCCAAUACUAACACUGAGAGACGAAAGCGAGGGGAGCAAAUGGGAUUAGAAACCCUAGUAGUCC
rnacentral:rRNA from 1 species